ACGAACGCUGGCGGCGUGCCUAAUACAUGCAAGUCGAGCGCGGGAAGCGAGUGGAUCCCCUUCGGGGGUGAAGCUCGUGGAACGAGCGGCGGACGGGUGAGUAACACGUGGGCAACCUACCUGUAAGAUCGGAAUAACCCCGGGAAACCGGGGCUAAUGCCGGGUAAUACUUUUCUUCGCAUGAAGGAAAGUUGAAAGAUGGCCUCUGGCUAUCACUUACAGAUGGGCCCGCGGCGCAUUAGCUAGUUGGUGAGGUAACGGCUCACCAAGGCGACGAUGCGUAGCCGACCUGAGAGGGUGAUCGGCCACACUGGGACUGAGACACGGCCCAGACUCCUACGGGAGGCAGCAGUAGGGAAUCUUCCGCAAUGGACGAAAGUCUGACGGAGCAACGCCGCGUGAACGAUGAAGGUCUUCGGAUCGUAAAGUUCUGUUGUUAGGGAAGAACAAGUGCCGUGCGAAUAGAACGGCACCUUGACGGUACCUAACGAGGAAGCCCCGGCUAACUACGUGCCAGCAGCCGCGGUAAUACGUAGGGGGCAAGCGUUGUCCGGAAUUAUUGGGCGUAAAGCGCGCGCAGGCGGUUCCUUAAGUCUGAUG
rnacentral:rRNA from 1 species